rnacentral:rRNA from 1 species
GAUGAACGCUGGCGGCGUGCUUAAUACAUGCAAGUCGAACGAAGAGCCUUUGUAGCAAUACGGAGGCUUCUUAGUGGCGAACGGGUGCGUAACGCGUUGGUGACCUGCCCCGAAGUGUGGGAUAACAGUCCGAAAGGACUGCUAAUACCUCAUGUGGUCGUAAGGGUUAGAUAUCUUACGUCUAAACGGAGUAAUCCGCUUCGGGAGGGCCUGCGUCCCAUCAGCUAGUUGGUAGGGUAAUGGCCUACCAAGGCGACGACGGGUAGGGACCUGAGAGGGUGGCCCCCCA